GCCGAGGUGGUGAAAUUGGUAGACACAAGGGACUUAAAAUCCCUCGGACAUUAUACGUCCGUGCCGGUUCGAUUCCGGCCCUCGGUA
rnacentral:tRNA from 1 species